CUUAAGGCAGUGGUAGGUGGAGUCCUACUGAUUUUAAUGUUGUGUCUACUCCUGCCGUGUCUUAUACCCUCAGUAGUUAGGUCUGUGCAAAGCCUGAUAGAAAAUAUAGCAGAGAGGAAGGCUGCUGCACAGAUAAUGGCAAUUUAUAAAUAUAAGGCUCUAGAUCAGGGAGAACCAAUGCAGGAAGACGAGCGUUGAAGAUUCACAUCAUAGGAU